CUGGCAGGACAAAGGACCCCCCCCCCCGCCAAGAAUGCCCUUGGCUUGAUACUCAAGGCAGGACGGCAGCUCAGCCCUGGGACAACAAACCUAUGCAGGUUUGCCAAAAAGUGGCGUCCCUGGCAGGCAGGCCCCUUCAUGUGUGAACGCAAGGAUGGCGCACAAUCAGUCUUCAUCGGACAAAGAGACACGAGGUCACACGGCGUGGCAAUGGACGGCGGCCACGGUGCGGGAACAAAGCUGCUCUUCCCUUAUUUGCCACAUGGAUGCCUCAGGCGGGGCCAGCGGUGGAGGGAGGGAGGGUUGGGGUGGCGAGGGGAAAAAGCGCUGAGGGCGGGUGGGAGCUUCCCUGCCCUGCUUCAACCGAAACUCUCCCCCCCCACCUACCACAGGUGAAAAGGAGGGGGGGUUUCUAUGACUCCAGCAGCUCACCAUCAAACCCUAAGGGGCGGGCGCCACACAGGGAAAGCGGAGGGAGGGGGAAGGGAGGGGUCUCUCUCUCUCUCUCUCUCUCUUUGAUAUGGAUCGGACAGGCAGGGCGCGAUGUCUCGUGGCUCGAAGCGCUUCCCCGCCUCGGGGGUGAUUCCGAACUGGGGGCAAUAAUUAACACUUCAGUUACAAUAUUAUUAAGAGUGGAAAGACGAGUAACGAGAAGAAAGAUCCCAGAGGCUACAUCCAUACAACAGCUACAACCUUCUAUAAGCAAUGAAGAAGAAAAAACAGAAGCUUUAAAAUAUAUGAGCACCUGACAAGAUACCUUCUCAGGUGACUCUAGUUUGGAAUUGGGAGGGAUUACAUAUGAGGAAGCUAUAUGUGUACAUAUAUAUAUAUAUAUAGAGAGAGAGAGAGAGAGAGAGAGAGACCGACCGACCACGUGUGAGCGAUGUGUAACUAAUUUAAAGCAUUAAUGAUGUAUGUGUC
rnacentral:lncRNA from 1 species